rnacentral:rRNA from 1 species
UACGAAGGGAGCUAGCGUUGUUCGGAAUCACUGGGCGUAAAGGGAGCGUAGGCGGGUUAUCAAGUUGGGGGUGAAAGCCCGGGGCUCAACCUCGGAAUUGCCUUCAAAACUGAUAACCUGGAGUAUGGAAGAGGUAAGUGGAACUCCGAGUGUAGAGGUGAAAUUCGUAGAUAUUCGGAAGAACACCAGUGGCGAAGGCGACUUACUGGUCCAUUACUGACGCUGAGGCUCGAAAGCGUGGGGAGCAAACAGG